UGAGUAAUGUCUGGGAAACUGCCCGAUAGAGGGGGAUAACUACUGGAAACGGUAGCUAAUACCGCAUAACCUCGUAAGAGCAAAGUGGGGGACCUUCGGGCCUCACGCUAUCGGAUGUGCCCAGAUGGGAUUAGCUAGUAGGUGGGGUAAUGGCUCACCUAGGCGACGAUCCCUAGCUGGUCUGAGAGGAUGACCAGCCACACUGGAACUGAGACACGGUCCAGACUCCUACGGGAGGCAGCAGUGGGGAAUAUUGCACAAUGGGCGCAAGCCUGAUGCAGCCAUGCCGCGUGUGUGAAGAAGGCCUUCGGGUUGUAAAGUACUUUCAGCGGGGAGGAAGGCGAUGAGGUUAAUAACCUCGUCGAUUGACGUUACCCGCAGAAGAAGCACCGGCUAACUCCGUGCCAGCAGCCGCGGUAAUACGGAGGGUGCAAGCGUUAAUCGGAAUUACUGGGCGUAAAGCGCACGCAGGCGGUCUGUCAAGUCAGAUGUGAAAUCCCCGGG
rnacentral:rRNA from 1 species